GACGAACGCUGGCGGCGUGCUUAAUACAUGCAAGUCGAACGGAAAGGCCCUGCUUUUGUGGGGUGCUCGAGUGGCGCACGGGUGAGUAACACGUGAGUAACCUGCCCUUGACUUUGGGAUAACUUCAGGAAAAUGGGGCUAAUACCGGAUAGGAGCUCCUGCUGCAUGGGGGGGGAAGGAAAGUUUCGGCGGUUGGGGAUGGACUCGCGGCUUAUCAGCUUGUUGGUGGGGUAGUGGCUUACCAAGUCUUUGGAUGGUAGCCGGCCUGAGAGGGUGACCGGCCUCAUUGGGCCUGAGAUACGGCCCAGACUCCUACGGGAGGCAGCAGUGGGGAAUAUGGCACAAUGGGCGGAAGCCUGUGGCAGCAACGCCGCGUGCGGGAUGACGUCCUUCGGGUGGUAAACCGCUUUCGCCGUUGACGAAGCGUGAGUGACGGUAAUGGGUAAAAAAGCACCGGCUAACUACGUG
rnacentral:rRNA from 1 species